GAUGAACGCUGGCGGCGUGCCUAAUACAUGCAAGUCGAACGAAACUUCUUUAUCACCGAGUGCUUGCACUCACCGAUAAAGAGUAGAGUGGCGAACGGGUGAGUAACACGUGGGCAACCUGCCCAAAAGAGGGGGAUAACACUUGGAAACAGGUGCUAAUACCGCAUAACCAUAGUUACCGCAUGGUAACUAUGUAAAAGGUGGCUAUACUACCGCUUUUGGAUGGGCCCGCGGCGCAUUAGCUAGUUGGUAGGGUAAAGGCUUACCAAGGCAAUGAUGCGUAGCCGAAUUGAGAGGUUGAUCGGCCACAUUGGGACUGAGACACGGCCCAAACUCCUACGGGAGGCAGCAGUAGGGAAUCUUCCACAAUGGGCGAAAGCCUGAUGGAGCAACGCCGCGUGGGUGAAGAAGGUCUUCGGAUCGUAAAACCCUGUUGUUAGAGAAGAAAGUGCGUGAGAGUAACUGUUCACGUUUCGACGGUAUCUAACCAGAAAGCCACGGCUAACUACGUG
rnacentral:rRNA from 1 species